UGGAUGUUGAGCAAGAUUUGCUGGGAGUGGAUCUUCUGAGGUUUGAGAGAGACUCUCUAUGGCCACCAGAACUUUGUUUUCUUGGAGAUGGAGGGAGUUGUUUCCCAUGGAGGACAGUGUCAUCCUGACCGAGAUUCCAGUCUGCCUGGUCAUUAGCACUGCUGCACAGCAGGAUUGAGAUGCACACAUAAUGCAUUUGAAAGACCAUGAAGUGGCUGGAA
rnacentral:lncRNA from 1 species